AAAAAGGGUAAAAGUUUUGAUGAUUUUCAUAUAUUAAAGUAAUUAUUAAUAGAGAAAUUAAUUCUAUCUUUACCCCCCACUUAGAAGACAAAGUCAGAACGCCUACCUGUUGGUGCCCUUUAUGCAACUGUCCCAAAUGAAACAACUUCGGCUUUUGCUGCCACCUCUACUGCCCCCAUGGUUCCUCUGCCACAGUUUAUGGCACCUUCCCUCCACUACAGGUAUGAAUCUUAAAGAGAUACCUUAGGAAAUUUACCUGAGAAUAGCUGGAAAUUAGCCAAGCUCAAAAAAACUCGCUUCAGAAGGAAAGGAAGAAAAAUCCCUACUGCAUCAUCCAUCAGAAUCUUGCAGGUUGUAGAUGGGACGCCAGCUACACAGCCACACCCCUCUGGGGCCGCCAGGAGCAAGAAUGAGCUGGCAGGGGCAAAACACUGGGCCUUGCCUGGGAGCAGGAACAUCUCAGGGCUUCAGUAUACGCUCUUUUCCUCUUAACGGAUGGAGAGUUCAGGUGAUACAGUAGGCUGAGAGAGAAAUUGGAACUAGAUAAAGGGCCACUAUGCCUGGCUGAGAGGCUUGAAAAUUACCCUCCAGGGAAGGAAGAUUCUAGAAGUAAAACCGCUUGGCCCACAGGAGAUCACAUGGGGACCCUUUCUGCGCAGAAACAGAGCCAUAUGCGGGGAAGACCAAAGAAGAAGCUGUCCGUACUUGUUAUCCAAAAAGCCGAUUAUCGGAGUGACAUUAACCGAGUAUGGGAAGGUAACAAAUCAUACUUAUAGUGUUACUCCUUCGUCUACAUUUUAAUAAAACCGGCUGGGCCACCUCCAUG